AUGGGCAAGGGCAAGGUCCACCCGUCGCCGUCGCCGUCGGCGGCCGGCGGCGAGACGGCGGAGGGGGUGCUCCUCCGGCUGCUCCCCGCGGUCGUGCUCGCCAUGGCGGCGCCGCUGGGGCCCGAGGGGAAGGAGGUGCUCGCGUACCUCGUCCUCGCCUCGCUGCGCUCCUCGGCGCCGCCCACGCCGGCGAGGGAGGAGCCCUCCGCGGCCGGGGAGGGGUGCGGGCGGAAGCCCCACCGCCCGGAGCUCGGGUGCGGGUGCUUCGGGUGCUACACGGCCUACUGGUCGCGCUGGGACGGGUCCCCGGAGCGCGACCGCGAGGCGAUUCACCGGGCCAUCGAGGCCUUCGACGAGCACCUGGCCCGGAAGGAGGAGGGCAAGGGUGGCCGCCGCCGCAAGAAGCGAGCAGCCUCCUCCAAGGGCAAGGCCAAGGCGUCGGCCGCCGUUGACCCUCAGCUGCCGGAGCAGGGGGAGACCUCGGCCGCCGCGGCUCCUGUGCUGGCGGAGGUGGUUGAAGGCGGGGAGGAGGUAGUGAAGAAGACGGUGGAGGAGGAGGAAGAAACCACCGCGGCCUGCGCCCGCGACGACGUUCCGGAGGAGCGCAGGCGGCGGGUGUGGGGCGCGGUCGCCGGCGUGUUCAACUGGAGGGGAUGGGGCCUGUGGGGGUCCCACUAG
rnacentral:rRNA from 1 species